GGGCCGUGUGCACCUCCCCUGUGCCUCACCGGGGGGAGGGGAGCUGCCUCCAGGGAGGGGAACUGCACGUCUGCAGUGGGAAAAGCUGUCAUUAGAUGUGUUUCUGAACGGGUUUUUUCCAGAAAAUUGUGACUGGCUUGCAAACCCUCUGCAAAAGCAAUCAUUGCUGAGGAGCCGCACGUCGGACCGUGGAGGAGUGUGCAGG